rnacentral:rRNA from 1 species
CAGACAAACUCCGAAUGCCAAUUAAUUUAACUUGGGAGUCAGAACAUGGGUGAUAAGGUCCGUGUUCGAAAGGGAAACAGCCCAGACCACCAGCUAAGGUCCCAAAAUAUAUGUUAAGUGGAAAAGGAUGUGGCGUUGCCCAGACAACUAGGAUGUUGGCUUAGAAGCAGCCAUCAUUUAAAGAGUGCGUAAUAGCUCACUAGUCGAGUGACACUGCGCCGAAAAUGUACCGGGGCUAAACAUAUUACCGAAGCUGUGGAUUGUCCUUUGGACAAUGGUAGGAGAGCGUUCUAAGGGCGUUGAAGCAUGAUCGUAAGGACAUGUGGAGCGCUUAGAAGUGAGAAUGCCGGUGUGAGUAGCGAAAGACGGGUGAGAAUCCCGUCCACCGAUUGACUAAGGUUUCCAGAGGAAGGCUCGUCCGCUCUGGGUUAGUCGGGUCCUAAGCUGAGGCCGACAGGCGUAGGCGAUGGAUAACAGGUUGAUAUUCCUGUACCACCUAUAAUCGUUUUAAUCGAUGGGGGGACGCAGUAGGAUAGGCGAAGCGUGCGAUUGGAUUGCACGUCUAAGCAGUAAGGCUGAG